AAGUCGUAACAAGGUCUCCGUAGGUGAACCUGCGGAGGGAUCAUUAACACUUUUUCUUAGGAAAGAGCUCCCAUACUCUUUUCUUUUACCAACCGUGAACUAACUUAUGCCCGAUUGGUCUAUAGUAACUUCGGUUCUAUAGGCUGGUCCAUUUUUUUUCUAUUGUUAUUUAAAACCUUUUAUCCAACUACUAACACUAUAGCCAUACAGUACUUUUGAUACAUUUUUUAUAAAAUGUAUGAUUUGUACAGUGAUAUAGUAAAGUAACUAAAAGCACAACUCUUAGCAACGGAUAUCUCGGUUCUC
rnacentral:misc_RNA from 1 species